CAGGACAGAGUGACAGAGACACAGAAACAUGGCGUUUAUUAAAGAGGAGAGCGAAGACUUCAGGAUCGAAGAGGUUUUCAGUCUCAAACUAGAGGAUUUCCAGAAACAAACAGAAGGCGAUCCGGCAAUUUUCCGGGAACCCACCAAUGUGCAGUGUGAAAGGGGCUUAGCUUUUCCUUAUCCUUUUCGUGACUACCCCCAUGUUAGAAGUCCACUGAGCAGAUGAGUUGAAUCAGACCUGACAUCUUUUAAAGAGGAAAUGGAAGAGAAAGAUCAUCAGAAUGAGAGUCAUGAUUUCAGUUUUGAAGAAAAACCUUUUAAUUGCUCACAGACUACAAAGACUUUCUCACGAAAAA